rnacentral:misc_RNA from 1 species
AAAUUUAUUGUACCCAUAUCAAGUUACCAAUCCACCCUUCUCAGUGAAGAAUAGGUUCUACUAUGUGCUACAACACAAGGGUAUAAUGAUAUCAUAAAAUACAUUGUUAAAACAUCUCUCAAUAAAUUGUAGGGAAGUUUCCACCAUGAACUACUACAUCAUAACGCCACUGGCUGCACAGCUUGCUCUUCUCUUGAAAACUAUAACCGCCUAGUUAGGGGUGCCCUUGUCCUGCUGUAAGGUUUCCUUUAUGAAGUUCAAAACAGCAGAGGAUAACUCAGCUUGGUGUGAAGUGUAUGAAUGAUUAGCUCCUUCUAUGAUGUGUAACUUGUGAUUAGAUAUGAUCUUGGCAAACUCUAAUGCGUCUUCCACGGGAAUGAUUUCAUCAGCAGAUCCAUGAACAGUGAACACCCUGCAGUCUUUAUCAAUCAGAAGGCAAGCUUUGCGCAUAUUUGUAUUCAGGCGAUCCAUCAAACUUUCUAGAGUCACACGAUAGUUAACACUUCCUGUUUUGUUCUUAACAUCAAAGAAUCCUUCUUGCUUGAUCUUUUCCAUAAAGUCUUUCCCAAGCCGUUCCUCAAUGCCUCUAUUCAGAUCAUAACGACCAGAAACAUUGACUACCGAACUGAUAUCGCUAUAUUUUGAAGCAUAUAGGAGCACCAAA